UCAGGUAGAGAACAGGCCAUAGCAGAAGUGCUCAUGGUGCAGCCCCGUCACAUUCCAACGAAUCUGUGAAUUCUGCU
rnacentral:ribozyme from 1 species